UGCCAGCAGCCGCGGUAAUACGGAGAGGGCAAGCGUUAUUCGGAUUUAUUGGGCGUAAAGGGCGUGUAGGCGGCCUGAAAGGUCAAAGGUGAAAUCCCCGGGCUCAACCUGGGAACUGCCUUUGAAACCAUCUGGCUAGAGUUCGGGAGAGGGUAGUGGAAUUCCUAGUGUAGCGGUGAAAUGCGUAGAUAUUAGGAGGAACACCAGUGGCGAAGGCGACUACCUGGACCGAUACUGACGCUGAGGCGCGAAAGCGUGGGGAGCAAACAGGAUUAGAUA
rnacentral:rRNA from 1 species